AAUCUCCUUAGACUGCAUUUUCAUUGCUGCAUCUGAAGCUUGUGCCUUCAUCUUCAAGUCGCUCAACAUUUCCUCAUGUAAAACAACUUGUUGUCUUAGUUCUGCAUACUGCAUUCUUCAAAUUCUCAAUCUCCUUAGACUACAUUUUCAUUGCUACAUCUGAAGCUUGCGCCUUCAUCUUCAAGUCACUCAACAUUUGCUCAUAUUCAACUACUUGUUGUCUUAGUUCUGCAGCUUCUUGUAGCCCUCCCAAAGAAACUUCAGAUCUUGAGCUUGUAGCUGAGGUUGGCUGCACAGUCACAUAAUCAAGGAAGGUACUUGACUGCAGAUCAUCAGGACUAGAAUUUGGUACUACAACCCCAAGGAUUAUUUUCAAUAUUUCAGCCUACAAGUGAAAGGAGCAGAAGUCAAACUUCAAUCUUAAACAAAGCAACUGAAUAAAGUAAAGAAUAUAGGAGCAUGAUAAUCACUUGUUUAGUUAUAUACCAUGACAUAUGAUUGAAUUUCAGCAAUGCAGGAAUGUGAUACUAGGCCCUGCAUAAUAAGUAUUUGGUCUGUUGUCUUAGAUAUAAGGAACAUAAUAUACCAUGACCAUAGAAAUGUAGAUGCCAGCCUUGCAGAUAGAUCUAGAGUGGCCAAGGUAAGAGAAGGAUCUCAAAUCUAAGACAACACACCAAGAUAUUUACUUUUCUCUAAAGAAAUACUCCAGCAGCAUAGGACCGUGACCACAUCUAGUCAUCACUAGACUCCGCUCCAUACAUAAAUAAAGUUGAGCUGAGUGCUCUCCGGUGAAGCAGAUGUAGAUCUAGCAAAUUGGAGGGGACUAUAGAGAAAAUAAAUGAGAUUCUCACUCUUGGAGCUCGAAGUUGCAUUGGCGCAUGGUUCGUUGGGGCAGCCGGUGCUUGCGUGACAUCCUCACUCAAUUGCUCAAUUGCACAAGCAAGGGUGCAUCCGUUGCAAGGACACUGAGAUGUUCCUCCAAGAGUGCCGCCGACCGUGCCGCACCUUGAUGCCUGCCACCCAUGGAGCUUGCUGCCACCGCUGAGGUACCUUGCGGCCGCCGAGGUCAGUCGCCAUCGCAGAUCUAGUUGGACUUUAGAGCCAGCAGAGAGGAGAGUGCUAAUUUUGGAAAUACAAGGCGGGAGUUUGGAGGGGCACUAUGGUAGCCAUGUUUUUAUUAUUUGGGGGGAGGCAACGGUAUACAGAAUUUGAAGAUCCCGCUUUCAAGUUCCUGGGUGCGAAAUGAAAAUUUAGUAAGCUGCACUUGCUGCGGGGUAACUGACAAGAUUGUGCACUCUUAUCGGACCCAUUUGUUAGCGAAGCUAGGUGCGUUUCAUCUUGCAUACAACCUAGGUGGGAGAUGAAUAUCUGGAAGAGGCCCACGCUUCAGUGAACCUGGGUGCAUUUCUAGUCGCUGACCACAAAGGGGAACAACUACUUUCUCCAACUAUAAUGCCUACGCAUCUGUUUUUUUAACUCAUGUGGAUGUUAGGAUUUUCCUUUUUUUAUCCGGACCAAAGAGCACUCAUGUACUGACCGAAUAUUUCGCAUGCCUACCCGUGAAGGAAAUCCUGCAUAUUCCACCCUAUACUUGUGGCAGGAUUCCUGAUCAGUGUAGGUUUGCGUAUUCUGAGCAUCCCACGUAUUUUCAUGGCUACUGUACUCUCGUGAGGCGUGAGCUAGGAGAAGGUGCACUACGUUGUUGAUCGGUCAUGGUGCUUCAAUAAAUAGGCAUGCCCCCAAGGUCUUUGCUCAUCAGCUCUUCAUCUUACACGCAUUGUUUAGUGGUUGUGCUAGGCAACCUACUUGGUUCUGCGCCCUAUGAGAGGUGAGCUCAUAGCUUUCGCAUCUUAUUUAUAGGUUACCAUCAUUUCUUGUGGUCAUUGCCUAUUAUUUUUAGUUCUGUUGGUAAGUCUCUGUUGGAGGAUGACUGGUCAAGCGAAUGGAGCAGGCAACUUUGAUGUUGUGCCACCUCCGCAGCAGCCAAGCUUCGUUGAUCCAUAUGAUUUGUACGACAUGGAAGAAGCGGAUGAGGAUGAAACAGAGGAGUUGAAGAAAUUUGAGUUCGCUUGGCUGCCAAACCACAGUUACACUCAUAUGCUUCACAAUGGUCGCUUUGUGUGCCCUUACUACUUUCUUGCCCACUGGACGUGACGUAUUCAUGACAUCGUGCAGCAUGCUUCUAGCAUUGGUCGCUCGGGUCAUGUUACCUUGGACUCGAGGGCUAGGCAUCGUGCAUUGGAGGACUAUCUUCGGAGCGAACCUCGUUUUGUUGCUAUCCCUGGUAUGCUAGAAUAAUCUUAUGUCAUAUCCAUCUCCAUGACCGUGUCCAUUGCUCCUCGUUGCCAUGUCCGUGUCUGAUGCAUUGCAUCUACAUGUUGUGACACUUUCGUGUAACAGAGAUGACUUUAUUUGUAUCAUCUGGAUCAGUGUUUUUAGCCUGUCAGUGCCUAGUGACAAUGCACCAGUUUAGUAUUUAAAAUUGUAUGGUUCCGUUGUUGUGUGUGUGCGCGCCUAUGCCACUGUAUGAGUGUGGAUCUGUGGGGAUGUAUCAUGUAUGUAUACUUAAGAAUGCGAUCUAAUAAGAACGGUCAUGGUUUGUUGAUUACUAUUUCAGAAUAGAGGAACUUACGUUGUGUAUCUUCUUAUAUAAGCUGAUAGUCCUCUAUACUCUGCUCCCUAUUUAAGGCACAAAAGAAAUCCCCUGUUGUUUGCUGCCUCUGAUCUCUUCCCCGCAUCUUUCCAAUCUCCACCACCGCCCGACGAGCUGCUUGUCCUCAUGACCAAAUCCACCAGCAUGGCUCAAAGCCAGACAAGCUUCUCAGAGCGCCCCAACACACUCUUCACUAUGGGAAAAGAUCUCUUCCAGGAGUUCGGCACCCACGUCACCAUCGUCACAUUCUCUCCCCCACCGGUGAGCCCAAAUCCUACAGAGCACCCAACGCCGACUCCGUCCUCUGCACCUACCUUCCCGAGAUCCAUAGCUUGCCGUCUCCAGCUUGUUCUGAAAUGACAGGGAAGGCCACGGCCAGGGUUGAUGGAAUGAAGUGGGAGGCGGAGGAGACCACUUUCUUAGCUGAGGCGGAAAGGGCGUAUCAAGCUGCCGCAUGGUCGAAGAUCUUAGCGGCUCAGACGAGCGCCGGGAAACAGAACAAGUGAGAGGUAGAUGUGGAAGCUCUCGGGAUGGACGAGCUGCCGGUGUUCGUCAGGGCAUUGGAGGUUCUAACGACCGACGUCCAAUGCCAACUCAACACAAUGGAAUCAUCACAGAAGGAGAAGAUGCAACCUUAAUCAUUUUCUAUUAGUGCUCUCACUACAAGAUAAAUCAUGAAGAUGUUAUGUGAACUUUUAUGAUACCUUAAUCCUUUUGUAAUCCAUGCAAGAAAUAUUUGUAUGUUCUUCUUAUGCAUUAUAUAAGCAUCAAUCAGACAUAUGAUCCGUUCUCGGAAAAUUGAAUAGGACGUACUAACAUUUGCAAUCCUUUAUUGGGAAAAAAGAUUCUUGAUCUAAAUUUUGGUAAGCUGAGCAAGGAUUUCCUUGCUUUUGAGAGAUAGCCAAAUAGGAUCACAUUUUUUAUUAAUAAUCAUCCCAUAUUGAUUUUCAAUCUUUAAAAAAAUGGAUGCACCAUUCCAACUCCAUUCUCAUUAAAUGAAACAUAAAAUUCGAUCCAUCUUGGUUUCUAAAGGCCUAUGAGUAGGAGAACGACCCAUUGGGAAUUAAAUGAGGGAAUAGCAUAAAUUGGUUUUAAGUAACCAUACCUACACGAGAACAAAGGAAGAUCAGCUGCAUGGAUGUGGAGGAUGUGACAUUACACGGCACUGGAACGUGGACGGUUGCCACAUUAAUCGUCAGGUACAAAUUAGAAUUUGUUACAAUUUUUGGGAAAAAUAUGUAUAGACAUAUGAUCUGUUAGAGGAAAAGUGAAUAAUACGGACCAAAAUGUUUGAUGCUUUGUUGGAAAAAUGGUUUGAAUUUUGGCAAGGUGAGCAAGAAUUUCCUUGGUUUUGAGAGAGAGCCAAAUAUGAUUACAUUAUUUGUUAAUGUUUGUCUCAUAUUGAUUUUCAACCUUAAAAAAUCAAUGCAAUAUUCCAACUACAAUCACAUUAAUGAAACAUAAAAUUCAAUCCAUCUUGACCUCUCAAGCUAUGUGAGUAGGAGAACAACAUAGCAAACAUAAACAAUCUAAUUAAUCUCCCUAGGAAAAGCUUGGAACUCUUGGAAACAGCAAAAUGAAAUCAUGCAAUUUGAUUGGCAAAGUGACAAUACAUCAUCAACACAAUGAUCAGAAAUAGCGAUUCUACGUGAGGUACAUAUGUAUGAUUCAUUAUCGGAAAACUAAAUAGGAUGGACUAAACUUUUUAUCACAUAUUGGUUUUCAACCACUCAAAAAAUCGAUGAGGGAAGAUAGUCAUUAGUUUCUAAAUACACAAGACAAGAUAGCCGUUGUUGCUAGUGCACAGUACAAGAGAGUCCGUUCAUGAACAUUCAAUGGAAAACAUUGACUUUUUUGCCGCAAUGCGGUGUGGUGGUAUAAGAAUAAAAAAAUCACAUGAUAAGACAUGGCAUGGCAGGCUAUGACACAACAUCAUGACCAGAGAAAACCAAAGCACCAAGAAAGAUGAACAGAUUCUUGCCGAUGUCCCAUCAUAGAGCAAACAUAGCAGGAAAAUAGGGGAUCGAUCCUCGGACUAGAAAACAGGGAAUUUCCCUACUAGAUUCAUAGAGCAAGAAAUCAUGGGCGACGCCGGCCCGUAGAGCAGGAAUGGGUCCAGCAGGACCCCCUCGCUCACUGGGACAGUCAAUGCGGUGGACAUACUUAACAUUAGUGGCCGAGCGGCUAGCCACGGGACCCACACGUGUUCAUCCUGGCCUCUAGGGCACUCCACCCACUACACACCAGCUUCAGGUGGUGACGGCGUCUCGUGGGAGACGGGGGUCGCGGUAUUCUAGCAGCGGCAUCGGGGCUUCCCCCACCGCUCUCUGGCUAACCAGUGACAACCCCCGCAGGUGCUGUAGAGCGUGCGGGGCCCCAUCGGGCCAAUCCUCCACUGCGACACCUUCAUCGUGCCGCAGUCGCCACAUCUCCCCACCAUCAUGGUGGCCAGCAGGGACGGUGGGAGGGAGAGCGUCAAGGAUGACCAUUGUGUCGCUUCGGCUCAGACGCGAGGGACGCAAGGAACGGUGCCAUCCAUUGGGGGAGAUGUUGGCAGAGGCAAUGAACAGGCACCGGGAGGCGCGUGACAGCAAAGAAGGAAUAGUGAGGUUCAGAAGGUGAUUAAAUAAGGAGUUCCUCACCUUUCCUGGGAAGCUGCA
rnacentral:lncRNA from 1 species